UAGGGAAUCUUCCGCAAUGGACGCAAGUCUGACGGAGCAACGCCGCGUGAGUGAAGAAGGAUUUCGGUUCGUAAAACUCUGUUGUUAGAGAAGAACAGCGCAUAGAGUAACUGUUAUGCGUGUGACGGUAUCUAACCAGAAAGCCACGGCUAACUACGUGCCAGCAGCCGCGGUAAUACGUAGGUGGCAAGCGUUGUCCGGAUUUAUUGGGCGUAAAGCGAGCGCAGGCGGUUAGAUAAGUCUGAAGUUAAAGGCAGUGGCUCAACCAUUGUAGGCUUUGGAAACUGUUUAACUUGAGUGCAGAAGGGGAGAGUGGAAUUCCAUGUGUAGCGGUGAAAUGCGUAGAUAUAUGGAGGAACACCAGUGGCGAAGGCGACUCUCUGGUCUGUAACUGACGCUGAGGCUCGAAAGCGUGGGUAGCAAACAGG
rnacentral:rRNA from 1 species